rnacentral:rRNA from 1 species
AACGAACGCUGGCGGCAUGCCUAACACAUGCAAGUCGAACUCGUGGAGCGAUCCACGAGUGGCGCACGGGUGAGUAACGCGUGGGAACCUGCCCUGGAGUGUGGGAUAACCCGGCGAAAGCCGGGCUAAUACCGCAUACGACCUGAGGGUGAAAGAUUUAUCGCUCUGGGAGGGGCCCGCGCCGGAUUAGCUAGUUGGUGAGGUAAUGGCUCACCAAGGCGGUGAUCCGGAGCUGGUCUGAGAGGAUGAUCAGCCACACUGGGACUGAGACCCGGCUCAGACUCCUACGGGAGGCAGCAGUGGGGAAUAUUGGACAAUGGGGGCAACCCUGAUCCAGCAAUGCCGCGUGGGCGAUGAAGGCCUUCGGGUUGUAAAGCCCUUUUGCACGCGACGAUGAUGACGGUAGCGUGAGAAGAAGCCCCGGCUAACUUCGUGCCAGCAGCCGCGGUAA